AUUGAACGCUGGCGGCAGGCCUAACACAUGCAAGUCGAGCGGAUGAAGGGAGCUUGCUCCUGGAUUCAGCGGCGGACGGGUGAGUAAUGCCUAGGAAUCUGCCUGGUAGUGGGGGAUAACGUCCGGAAACGGGCGCUAAUACCGCAUACGUCCUGAGGGAGAAAGUGGGGGAUCUUCGGACCUCACGCUAUCAGAUGAGCCUAGGUCGGAUUACCUAGUUGGUGGGGUAAAGGCCUACCAAGGCGACGAUCCGUAACUGGUCUGAGAGGAUGAUCAGUCACACUGGAACUGAGACACGGUCCAGACUCCUACGGGAGGCAGCAGUGGGGAAUAUUGGACAAUGGGCGAAAGCCUGAUCCAGCCAUGCCGCGUGUGUGAAGAAGGUCUUCGGAUUGUAAAGCACUUUAAGUUGGGAGGAAGGGCAGUAAGUUAAUACCUUGCUGUUUUGACGUUACCAACAGAAUAAGCACCGGCUGACUUCGUG
rnacentral:rRNA from 1 species